CACCUGAUAGCAAAAUGGAGUGCAUCUGCAUGAAUUAGGUGUUCUUGGUUGGGCAAUACCGCAGACGAUCCCCGUUCGAUCCGGGGUCAGGUGA